UUCUUUUCUUGUCAAACAAAAACUGGAGACUUACUAUAUUUUCUAUAUUCUGUGUGAAAAUUUGUUAUCAUUCGAUUUGUAUUAUGCCGCCGCCAACGAAUGAGGGGCCCAAUGAAGGAAGACGCCGGUACAACUGGGUUUUGAUAGUUCGUGUAGCAGCACUGAUUUUGGCGGUUGCGACUUCGGUGAUAUUCGUCAUUUACAUUUACCGCAGAUACAAAUGAAGGCGAAAAAACACAACAGAAGGAGGCCGCGCCAAGGAAGCAAGCAUCCAACAUGUUUUGGAUGGAAAUAAAAUAACAUUUAGUUGUAACAUAAUAAUGACAUAAUAUGCCGUUUGUUGCCAUUUUGUUGUACUUAACUUAAGAUCAAAUGAUAACUUAAAGAUUAUUUAAAACAUUA
rnacentral:sRNA from 1 species